CAGUAGCGUAUAUUAAUGUUGUUGCAGUUAAAAAGCUCGUAGUUGGAUUUCUGGCGAACAUGUCCAGCCCGGUAGACAAAUGUCGCUGAGUGCUCGGUACGCGUUCGUCAUCCUUCUAGAGAGGCUGGGCUACCCAACCGGGCCGGUUCAGUUUGUCUAGAUCUUUUACUUUGAAAAAAUUAGAGUGUUUAAAGCAGGCUAGCGCGAUGAAUACAUUAGCAUGGAAUAAUAAUAUAGGACUUCGUUUCUAUUUUGUUGGUUUUCAGAGCGAAGUAAUGAUUGAUAGGGAUAGUUGGGGGUGCUAGUAUUCAGCGGCCAGAGGUGAAAUUCUUGGAUUCGCUGAAGACUAACUUAUGCGAAAGCAUUCACCAAGGAUGUCUUCUUUAA
rnacentral:rRNA from 1 species